GUCUGUUUGGAGAUAUAAGGAGUCUAACCUGCCCACUGAUUAAUUAAUUAAAGGGCCGCAGUAUUAUAACUGUGCAAAGGUAGCAUAAUCAUUAGGUUUUUAAUUGGAAUCUUGAAUGAAUGGUUGAACAAAAGGAGUUCUGUCUUUAUACUAAAUUUUGAAUUUAACUUUUAAGUGAAAAGGCUUAAAUAUUCUAAAGGGACGAUAAGACCCUGUAAAACUUUACAUUAGGGUUAAAUUUUAGUUGAAUUUAAUUAUAAAGAUUUAAUUUAAUUAUUUGUUAUAUUGGGGAGAUAUAGGUAUAUUUUUUAUUAACUGCUUAUUGAUUAAACAUUUACUAAUGGGGAGUAAUAGAUCCUUACUAAAGAUUAUUGAAUUAAGUUACUUUAGGGAUAACAGCGUUAUUUUUUUUGAGAGUUCAUAUCGAAAGAAAAGAUUGCGACCUCGAUGUUGAAUUAAAAUAUCUAUAUAAUGGAGAGGUUAUAUAGGAGGGUCUGUUCGACCUUUAAAAUUUUACAUGAUUUGAGUUCAAACCGGCGUGAG
rnacentral:rRNA from 1 species